CAUCGACGGGGAGGUUUGGCACCUCGAUGUCGGCUCAUCGCAUCCUGGGGCUGUAGUCGGUCCCAAGGGUUGGGCUGUUCGCCCAUUAAAGCGGUACGCGAGCUGGGUUCAGAACGUCGUGAGACAGUUCGGUCCCUAUCCGUCGUGGGCGUAGGAAAUUUGAGAGGAGCUGUCCUUAGUACGAGAGGACCGGGAUGGACAUACCUCUGGUGUACCAGUUGUCGUGCCAACGGCAUAGCUGGGUAGCUAUGUGUGGACGGGAUAAGUGCUGAAAGCAUCUAAGCAUGAAGCCCCCCUCAAGAUGAGAUUUCCCAACUUCGGUUAUAAGAUCCCUCAAAGAUGAUGAGGUUAAUAGGUUCGAGGUGGAAGCAUGGUGACAUGUGGAGCUGACGAAUACUAAUCGAUCGAAGACUUAAUCAAAUU
rnacentral:rRNA from 1 species